CUGGGAGGACCAUCUCCUAAGGCUAAAUACUCUCUAGUGACCGAUAGUGAACCAGUACCGUGAGGGAAAGGUGAAAAGCACCCCGGAAGGGGAGUGAAAUAGAACCUGAAACCGUGUGCUUACAAGUAGUCAGAGCCCGUUAAUGGGUGAUGGCGUGCCUUUUGUAGAAUGAACCGGCGAGUUACGAUUUGAUGCAAGGUUAAGCAGUAAAUGUGGAGCCGUAGCGAAAGCGAGUCUGAAUAGGGCGUUUAGUAUUUGGUCGUAGACCCGAAACCAGGUGAUCUACCCUUGGUCAGGUUGAAGUUCAGGUAACACUGAAUGGAGGACCGAACCGACUUACGUUGAAAAGUGAGCGGAUGAACUGAGGGUAGCGGAGAAAUUCCAAUCGAACCUGGAGAUAGCUGGUUCUCUCCGAAAUAGCUUUAGGGCUAGCCUCAAGUGAUGAUUAUUGGAGGUAGAGCA
rnacentral:rRNA from 1 species